CUUCCGCCUGCUGGGGCGAGAUGAAGUGGACGUGGGCAUCGAUGCCCCCCGCCGUCAGGAUCAGGUGCUCGCCGGAGAUCGCGUCGGUACCCGGCCCGAGCGCCAGUCCGGGCGUCACGCCCGACAUGGUGGACGGGUUGCCGGCCUUGCCGAUGGCGCAGAUAUUGCCGUUCUUGACGCCGACAUCGGCCUUGAUGACGCCCUGCACGGGGUCGAGGAUGGUGACGUUGGUGAUGACGAGGUCCGGGGCGCCGGCGGCAUUGGUGAGCUCGUUGUCGUAGCCCAUGCCGUCGCGCAG
rfam:Martelella mediterranea DSM 17316 strain MACL11, complete genome.